rnacentral:tRNA from 5 species
GCGGGUGUAGUUCAAUGGUAGAACUUCAGCUUCCCAAGCUGAUGGCGCGGGUUCGAUUCCCGUCACCCGCUCCA